rnacentral:lncRNA from 1 species
CUUCUGAACAAUCAUAAGGAUGGUGCCAUUUGACAUUCGAGGGCCUGUACCAGGCCUACUAAGGAGUGAGCUGAUGUGGCUGAGAGUUUUGGAAUGUGAGGCUGGGAUGACAAGCCUGGGGCCUGGCUCUUCUGUGCUCAGUGAGGACUGCUCCAGCCUCAGCCCCAACUCCCAGCAAAGCCCAGGUAUGGGGAGCAGGGGAGGUGAGACAGAAAUGAGGAGGGACAGAAAUGUGGUUUCACACCUGACCCAGCAAUUCCUGCAGCUGGGAAGCAUGGCGACUCAGAAUGCCGAUGCCUGCCCGAGGCUUCGGCUUCUUGUCCUGCGUUUUGGAGACCAUAUCUGGAGAGGCACAGUGUGAGGGGCAUGGGGAGGCAGGAGUAGGACUGCAGCG